AUCGUUCAUCUUCGUAAGAAGACGGAAGUAGGUGAAAGCUGAAGGAACGCGAC
rnacentral:ncRNA from 10 species